CGAAUGCCCAGCCUGACAUUGUGUUUGUGUUUUGUUAAACUUUUAUUUUGGCCCUUGUGCCUGUUCCUUUGUUCCUGUUUUUGUGUUAUUUUGUUUAUUAAGCACGAGAACAGCUGAGAGUAAGCCAAAUAGAAACCUGGUUGUCCUUGUCAGAGUCCAUCAGUGAUACCAGAGGAGAUUGGGAGAGAGAUCCAAUUCAUUACUACUACCCUGCCUCCUGGCAGCCCAUUGUGAAGUUAAUCAGGAAACUCUCUAUAUUGAGGCUGCUCUGCAUGAAAUAAUCGCCCGCGGAUGCAGUAAAAAGG